rnacentral:rRNA from 1 species
UACGUAGGGGCUAGCGUUGUCCGGAUUUAUUGGGCGUAAAGGGCUCGUAGGCGGUCUGUUGCGUCGGGAGUGAAAACUCAGGGCUUAACCCUGAGCCUGCUUCCGAUACGGGCAGACUAGAGGUAUGCAGGGGAGAACGGAAGUUCCUGGUGUAGCGGUGAAAUGCGCAGAUAUCAGGAGGAACACCGGUGGCGAAGGCGGUUCUCUGGGCAUUACCUGACGCUGAGGAGCGAAAGUGUGGGAGCGAACAGG